rnacentral:tRNA from 1 species
CCUGAUAGCUCAGUUGGUAAAGAAUCUGCCUGGAAUGCAGGAGACCUUGGUUUGAUUCCUGGGUCAGGA